rnacentral:rRNA from 1 species
AUUAGUAGAUAAUAAAAUUAAUUUAUAAGAAUUCGGCAAAUUAAAAAUUUCGCCUGUUUAUCAAAAACAUCUUUAUAAGAUUUAUGUGAUAUAUUUAUGAUAAUACCUGCUCAAUGCGUUUAGUAAAUAGCUGCAGUAUAUUAACUGUACAAAGGUAGCAUAAUCAUUAGUUUUUUAAUUGAAAACUAGUAUGAAAGGUUUGACGUAAAUUUAACUUUUUUGAAAUUAAUUUUUUUGAAUUUAGUUUUUAAGUUAAAAAACUUAAGUUUUAAAAAGUGACGAUAAGACCCUAUAGAAUUUAAAAAAUUUAAUGGUUAAAAGAAAGUUUUUUUGUUGGGGUGACAUAAAAUAAUAACUUUUUAUAAUUAAAUCUUUUUAUUAGUUUUAAAGAUCUUAAAGUUUAGAUAGAAAGAAUAAAUUACCUUAGGGAUAACAGCAUAAUUUUUUUUUUAAGAUCUAAUUUAUAAAAAAGAUUAUGACCUCGAUGUUGAAUUAAGAUAAUAUUUUGGUGCAAAAUUUAAAAUAUUUAGUCUGUUCGACUUAAAAUUUUUACAUGAUUUGAGUUCAAACCGGUGUGAGCCAGGUUGGUUUCUAUCUUUUUUAAAUUAAUAAUAUUUUAGUACGAAAGGAUUGAAUAUUAUAAUAAAAAUUAUUUUAUAUAAAUAUUUUAUG